GACGAACGCUGGCGGCGUGCUUAACACAUGCAAGUCGAACGGAAAGGCCCUGCUUUUGUGGGGUGCUCGAGUGGCGAACGGGUGAGUAACACGUGAGUAACCUGCCCUUGACUUUGGGAUAACUUCAGGAAACUGGGGCUAAUACCGGAUAGGAGCUCCUGCUGCAUGGUGGGGGUUGGAAAGUUUCGGCGGUUGGGGAUGGACUCGCGGCUUAUCAGCUUGUUGGUGGGGUAGUGGCUUACCAAGGCUUUGACGGGUAGCCGGCCUGAGAGGGUGACCGGCCACAUUGGGCCUGAGAUGCGGCCCAGACUCCUACGGGAGGCAGCAGUGGGGAAUAUUGCACAAUGGGCGGAAGCCUGAUGCAGCAACGCCGCGUGCGGGAUGACGGCCUUCGGGUUGUAAUCCGCUUUCGACUGUGACGAAGCGUGAGUGACGGUAAUGGGUAAAGAAGCACCGGCUAACUACGUG
rnacentral:rRNA from 1 species